rnacentral:rRNA from 1 species
CAUGUCUGUUUGGAGAUAUAAAAAGUCUAGCCUGCUCACUGAUAUUAUUUUUAAGAGCCGCGGUAUUUCUGACUGUGCAAAGGUAGCAUAAUCGUUAGUUUUUUAAUUGAAAUCUUGUAUGAAUGGUUUGACAAGAAAAAGACUGUCUUUAUAAUUAUUAAUUGAAUUUAACUUUUAAGUGAAAAGGCUUAAAUGAAUUAAAAAGACGAUAAGACCCUAUAAAGCUUAAUAUUAAUUUCUUAUUUAAUAAAAUUUUGUAUAAUAUAAAUGUUUGGUAAGAUUAUUUAUUUUAUUGGGGUGAUAAUGGUAAAAUGAUUAUUAACUGUUAAUUUUAUAAAAACAAAAGUAAAUGAAUAAAAAAUUUUAUUUGUUAAAUGAUCCUAUUUAAAGAUUUAAAGUUUAAGUUACUUUAGGGAUAACAGCGUAAUUUUUUUUGAGAGUUCUUAUCGAGAAAAAAGUUUGCGACCUCGAUGUUGAAUUAAAAUAUCUAUAUAAUUGCAGGAGUUAUAUAAGAAGGUCUGUUCGA